rnacentral:rRNA from 1 species
CCGGAAUCAUUGGGUUUAAAGGGUCCGUAGGCGGGCCAUUAAGUCAGGGGUGAAAGUCUGCGGCUCAACCGUAGAAUUGCCUUUGAUACUGGUGGUCUUGAGUUAUGGUGAAGUAACUAGAAUAUGUGGUGUAGCGGUGAAAUGCAUAGAUAUCACAUAGAAUACCGAUUGCGAAGGCAGGUUACUAACCAUAUACUGACGCUGAUGGACGAAAGCGUGGGGAGCGAAC